GAUGAACGCUGGCGGCGUGCUUAACACAUGCAAGUCGAACGAGAAGUGAAGACGGAAACCUUCGGGCGGAAGGCUUUAUUUCGAGUGGCGGACGGGUGAGUAACGCGUGGGUAACCUGCCUCAUACAGGGGGAUAACAGUUGGAAACGACUGUUAAUACCGCAUAAGACCACGGCACCGCAUGGUGCGGGGGUAAAAACUCCGGUGGUAUGAGAUGGACCCGCGUUCGAUUAGCCAGUUGGCGGGGUAACGGCCCACCAAAGCGACGAUCGAUAGCCGAUCUGAGAGGAUGACCGGCCACAUUGGGACUGAGACACGGCCCAAACUCCUACGGGAGGCAGCAGUGGGGAAUAUUGCACAAUGGGGGAAACCCUGAUGCAGCGACGCCGCGUGAGUGAAGAAGUAUUUCGGUAUGUAAAGCUCUAUCAGCAGGGAAGAAAAUGACGGUACCUGAGGAAGAAGCCCCGGCUAACUACGUG
rnacentral:rRNA from 1 species